UCUUGAUUCAGAUUCACUUCUAUUUGUUUCAGCUAUUGGAGAUGCUUCUGAAUAAUUGCGGAGAGCCUGUCCAUAGGCAGGUCAUUGAUAAUGGCCUUCUUCCAAUACUUGUGAAGAUAGUGAAGAAAAAGACGGAUUUACCAGUUCGAGAAAAAAUAUUUCUUUUGUUAGAUGCAACACAAACAUCCCUUGGUGGAGCUAAAGCAAGGUUCCCUCAGUACUAUGAAGCAUACUAUGAGUUGGUGUCUGCUGGUGUGCAAUUUUCAAAUCGACCAAAUGUUCUUGUCACACGAGCAGAAGUGCCAGUCCCAAAA